GGGCACACCUCGGCGCGCCGCAUCAGGGCUCAGUGGCCCCACUCUGUGUGUGAAGGGGACAAGCAGGCCCCUUCCCCCCUAUGCCUGCCAAUGCCGGUCCACCUCCGGUGGCGGCAGGGUCAAGCGCCCGCGACGCAGCGAAGUGAGAGCGAUGUAUUGCUGCUGGUGUAUGGGCGGUCAGGUCCUGGAUGGCGCUGCUUUGCCCGACGCGAUGGGGGCCUGUGUGAGCGGCCGGGGUCACGUGGCGUUCAGCUCACGUUGUAUGGUGGCAUGGACAUGCUGAGCCGCAAGCAAACAUUUUUCUGUACUCACACAUCUUUUUUUUCGUGCCGUUUUCGCGCACUCGUCGUAAAGAGUCGUCGUGGCACCGCUCGGCGAUUUCUUGAGCGCGAAGCGUGCGUGCGCUGCGUUGCUUCUCGUUCUCUCACAUCACCGGUGGGGGCGCUGGUACCACAAAGAGGACAGCGGCCUUGUCGAAGAAGCGUUGGCACGGUGUAUGCGUACCUGCGCAUUCUCCUCUUCUCGAAGGGCAUUGCGGCAGUGGUGGGCGCACGGGGCGUACAUGCGUGUACGUGUGUGCUUGUGUCAGCGAGCAUGCAAGGGCGGCUGGGAGUACGUGAGGUAGCUUGUGGCUGGACGGAGGGGAGGGAGAACGGCGAGAAGGGAGUCUUCUCACCCUUGUUUUCAGCGUUGGUGCCUCCCUCCCCCCCCCCCAUCCACGUCGCCUUCGUAUGUCGUUGUUGUUGGUGUCCCUCGCCCGCCGUGCGGGUCUUCAUGAUUUUCCCUUCUUUUAUUCCCUCCCUUCGCUGUGCUCUGAGGUAACUUAGACUGCGUCGUCUGCUCGUGUGCGUGUUGGGUCGGGCAGCGACGACGCGAUAUCCGCGUCCGUCCUCUUGCCCUCUGAAAUGUGCCGCAGCGAGCCAAUGAAAGAUGGAAAGUGCACCCCUUCCCUUCAUCCGACAAACGGCCCCCACCCCCACCCUCCAACCGCAUCCAUACAGUGAUGCUCGCGCGGCUACUAGCACAGCAUUACGUACGUGUUCAUGUCUGGAAGCUCACCAGUUGCUUGGUGAGCACUUUCGAGCAUGUACGCGCAUCUCUGCACCUCAUGAAUACGCAGCCUCCUCAACCCCUUCCCUUUCGCCGACUGCCUCAUGCGCAUGCAUGCGCACCCCCCCACCCCGCCCGACCAACAG
rnacentral:misc_RNA from 1 species